AUUGAACGCUGGCGGCAGGCCUAACACAUGCAAGUCGAACGAGUGGCGGACGGGUGAGUUAUGUCUGAGACACUGCCCGAUGGAGGGGGAUAACUACUGGAAACGGUAUCUAAUACCGCAUACCAUCGGAUGUGCCCAGAGGGGAUUAGCUAGUAGGUGGGGUAAUGGCUCACCUAGGCGACGCUCCCUAGCUGGUCUGAGAGGAUGCCCGGCCACACUGGAACUGAGACACGGUCCAGACUCCUACGGGAGGCAGCAGUGGGGAAUAUUGCACAAUGGGCGCAAGCCUGAUGCAGCCAUGCCGCGUGUAUGAAGAAGGCCUUCGGGUUGUAAAGUACUUUCAGCGGGGAGGCGUUACCCGCAGAAGAAGCACCGGCUAACUCCGUGCCAGCAGCCGCGGUAAUUC
rnacentral:rRNA from 1 species